ACUAAGUUUAACAAACAAAAGCACCGCUUGUUUAUAGCCCUACUCCCUCCCUACUUUUCUACUUGCAAUACAUCACGAUUCUAGUUUACUCCUCCUCCUCCUCCUCCUUCUCAUCCUCGGCGAUCUCAAUUCGCCGUUCCCUUUAGUCGCGGUACUGUAAACGGCGAUGCUGAGGGAAGAGACAGCGUUCUGAAGUGUCAAGACAACCGGAAACUUACAUUGAUCUCUUCGGGUAUCAACGCCUGGAGGUGAAGGCAUGGCACAGAUUAAUUGGGCGGCGGAAAGAUCAAUUGAUGCUCCUGGUGGUUUUCUUUUCAAGUGGUGGUCAGUGUUUUGGGAUAUCUUCAUAGCAAGAACUAAUGAAAAGCAUUCUCAAGUUGCUGUAGCGUACAUUGAGCCAUUGAGUCAUAGCGAGCAAAAGCAAAGGAAGAGCAUCAAAGACAGAUACACAUGCACUGCAACAUAGAGGUGUCAACCAUCCUACUGUCAAUGGGACUAUGAAUUCUACAAACACAAAUGGCAUUUUAGGGCCACCUACUGCUAGUCUAUUGGCUGCUAAACUGUACGAGGAGCGAAUGAAGCAACCACAACCUGUCAAUAGUGAAAUAUCCUCACAACUUAUUGAUGCUAAUAGUGUUGCACUUCUCAAAUCAGCAACCAGCCACCCAGGGUAGUUUUUAGUAUCUGAAGUAACCUGACAAAUCUAGUGUUUUUAAUCUGGCAGGCAAUUUAUCCAAAGCAACCAAAUCAAUGGAUCUUCUGCUACACAGCUUGUUCAAGGGCAAAAUCAACAGACAUCAGAUGCAUCAUGGGUGUAGCGCAGCCACAACAAUCUUUGAAUAUGGAGCCCUCUUCAUUGUAUAGCCAUGGAAUAAUGCAAGCAAAAUCUGGACUAAGUGGUAUUGGUUGUCCUAUGAAACAUGGAAUCCCUGCAAACUAUGAGCAGUUCCCAGAGCACACUCAUAUCGUUACAGACAACUGUGCGACAAUGGAGUGCAACUGAAUCAGUUAAUUGUUUACAUGCCUUCACUGGGCACAAUUCUCAGAUAACUUCCCUUGAUUUUCAUCCAAAAGAAACAGAUAUAUUUUGUUCUUGUGAUGAUAAUGGUGAGAUUCAGUACUAGAAUACCAGUCAGUAUGCAUGUACUUGAGUUGGCAAAAGAUGAUUGUGUUCGCUCCUAGUGCUCCCGUCAAUUUAUGUCAACACAGAGGAGGUAACUUACAGAUGACUACUAGUCCUUGAAAUACUGUCUGGCACAUGAGGAAAGCAUUUACUUCGAUUAUGCCGAGAUUCAAAUCUCAUACCUCAAAUUGAUAACACUUUAUGCGCUGACCAUUAGACCGUUCGGAGGGGACAAUAGUCAUGUACUUGAGUUUCUGAGGGUGGUAGUAUACAAAUGAGAUUUCAACCUAGAAGCAGACAAUUCCUAGCUGCAGCUGCAGAGAACAUGAUAUCUAUUUUUGAUGUCCAGACCCAUAAAAAUAUACGGGGAUUACAGGGUCGUAAGCCAGCAAUAUGUACAAUCUAUCUGCUGGGAUCAAAAUGGCCAAACUCUUGCAUAUGUUAGUCAGGAUUUGGUUAAAAUAUGGUCUACACGCACAUGGGAUUGCAUCAGUGAACUAAGUUCCUAUGGUAAUCAAUUCCAUUCAUGCAUCUUCCAUCCAAGAUACCCACAAUCUCGGUUAUUGGAGGUUAUCAGUCACUGGAGCUAUGGAAUAGGAUUGAGAACCAAACCAUGACUUCCGAUUGCAGCUUUGGCGCAGUCGAGCUCGACCGGGAUGAUGGUCUCGGCUAGCCAUGACAAAUCUGAUAAUUAUGGAAAUAGCACCAAAUCCUAAUUUCAUGACACUUCCAAGGCUGUGUGGAGGAAAACAGAAGUGGCCAGUGGAUGAACGCGAUUCUUGCUACAUCUUCCGCGAUUUAAUUUGCAAUAUAACAAGAUUGUAUGGGAAAUUCACCAUGCUGUUGGUGGGUUCCAAGCAAGGUCAUAUACUGUAGUAGUACAUCUAGAUCAAAUUAGAUAGAUCCUAAAAGUCAGUAGUCACCUAAAUGAUUGAUCGGGUAUUUUAUGUUUCUCCUUUUCUCAGCCAAUAGCUUCACAGAUGUAUAUAAUUAACUCAGACUUAGUGCAUCUUUUGAUACGGUGUGUA